rnacentral:rRNA from 1 species
GGGUUGUGAGGUUAAGCGACUAAGCGUACACGGUGGAUGCCCUGGCAGUCAGAGGCGAUGAAGGACGUGCUAAUCUGCGAUAAGCGUCGGUAAGGUGAUAUGAACCGUUAUAACCGGCGAUUUCCGAAUGGGGAAACCCAGUGUGAUUCGUCACACUAUCAUUAACUGAAUCCAUAGGUUAAUGAGGCGAACCGGGGGAACUGAAACAUCUAAGUACCCCGAGGAAAAGAAAUCAACCGAGAUUCCCCCAGUAGCGGCGAGCGAACGGGGAGCAGCCCAGAGCCUGAAUCAGUGUGUGUGUUAGUGGAAGCGUCUGGAAAGGCGCGCGAUACAGGGUGACAGCCCCGUACACAAAAAUGCACAUGCUGUGAGCUCGAUGAGUAGGGCGGGACACGUGGUAUCCUGUCUGAAUAUGGGGGGACCAUCCUCCAAGGCUAAAUACUCCUGACUGACCGAUAGUGAACCAGUACCGUGAGGGAAAGGCGAAAAGAACCCCGGCGAGGGGAGUGAAAAAGAACCUGAAACCGUGUACGUACAAGCAGUGGGAGCCUCUUUAUGGGGUGACUGCGUACCUUUUGUAUAAUGGGUCAGCGACUUAUAUUCUGUAGCAAGGUUAACCGAAUAGGGGAGCCGAAGGGAAACCGAGUCUUAACUGGGCGUUAAGUUGCAGGGUAUAGACCCGAAACCCGGUGAUCUAGCCAUGGGCAGGUUGAAGGUUGGGUAACACUAACUGGAGGACCGAACCGACUAAUGUUGAAAAAUUAGCGGAUGACUUGUGGCUGGGGGUGAAAGGCCAAUCAAACCGGGAGAUAGCUGGUUCUCCCCGAAAGCUAUUUAGGUAGCGCCUCGUGAAUUCAUCUCCGGGGGUAGAGCACUGUUUCGGCAAGGGGGUCAUCCCGACUUACCAACCCGAUGCAAACUGCGAAUACCGGAGAAUGUUAUCACGGGAGACACACGGCGGGUGCUAACGUCCGUCGUGAAGAGGGAAACAACCCAGACCGCCAGCUAAGGUCCCAAAGUCAUGGUUAAGUGGGAAACGAUGUGGGAAGGCCCAGACAGCCAGGAUGUUGGCUUAGAAGCAGCCAUCAUUUAAAGAAAGCGUAAUAGCUCACUGGUCGAGUCGGCCUGCGCGGAAGAUGUAACGGGGCUAAACCAUGCACCGAAGCUGCGGCAGCGACACUAUGUGUUGUUGGGUAGGGGAGCGUUCUGUAAGCCUGCGAAGGUGUACUGUGAGGUAUGCUGGAGGUAUCAGAAGUGCGAAUGCUGACAUAAGUAACGAUAAAGCGGGUGAAAAGCCCGCUCGCCGGAAGACCAAGGGUUCCUGUCCAACGUUAAUCGGGGCAGGGUGAGUCGACCCCUAAGGCGAGGCCGAAAGGCGUAGUCGAUGGGAAACAGGUUAAUAUUCCUGUACUUGGUGUUACUGCGAAGGGGGGACGGAGAAGGCUAUGUUGGCCGGGCGACGGUUGUCCCGGUUUAAGCGUGUAGGCUGGUUUUCCAGGCAAAUCCGGAAAAUCAAGGCUGAGGCGUGAUGACGAGGCACUACGGUGCUGAAGCAACAAAUGCCCUGCUUCCAGGAAAAGCCUCUAAGCAUCAGGUAACAUCAAAUCGUACCCCAAACCGACACAGGUGGUCAGGUAGAGAAUACCAAGGCGCUUGAGAGAACUCGGGUGAAGGAACUAGGCAAAAUGGUGCCGUAACUUCGGGAGAAGGCACGCUGAUAUGUAGGUGAAGUCCCUUGCGGAUGGAGCUGAAAUCAGUCGAAGAUACCAGCUGGCUGCAACUGUUUAUUAAAAACACAGCACUGUGCAAACACGAAAGUGGACGUAUACGGUGUGACGCCUGCCCGGUGCCGGAAGGUUAAUUGAUGGGGUUAGCGGUAACGCGAAGCUCUUGAUCGAAGCCCCGGUAAACGGCGGCCGUAACUAUAACGGUCCUAAGGUAGCGAAAUUCCUUGUCGGGUAAGUUCCGACCUGCACGAAUGGCGUAAUGAUGGCCAGGCUGUCUCCACCCGAGACUCAGUGAAAUUGAACUCGCUGUGAAGAUGCAGUGUACCCGCGGCAAGACGGAAAGACCCCGUGAACCUUUACUAUAGCUUGACACUGAACAUUGAGCCUUGAUGUGUAGGAUAGGUGGGAGGCUUUGAAGUGUGGACGCCAGUCUGCAUGGAGCCGACCUUGAAAUACCACCCUUUAAUGUUUGAUGUUCUAACGUUGGCCCCUAAUCGGGGUUGCGGACAGUGUCUGGUGGGUAGUUUGACUGGGGCGGUCUCCUCCUAAAGAGUAACGGAGGAGCACGAAGGUUGGCUAAUCCUGGUCGGACAUCAGGAGGUUAGUGCAAUGGCAUAAGCCAGCUUGACUGCGAGCGUGACGGCGCGAGCAGGUGCGAAAGCAGGUCAUAGUGAUCCGGUGGUUCUGAAUGGAAGGGCCAUCGCUCAACGGAUAAAAGGUACUCCGGGGAUAACAGGCUGAUACCGCCCAAGAGUUCAUAUCGACGGCGGUGUUUGGCACCUCGAUGUCGGCUCAUCACAUCCUGGGGCUGAAGUAGGUCCCAAGGGUAUGGCUGUUCGCCAUUUAAAGUGGUACGCGAGCUGGGUUUAGAACGUCGUGAGACAGUUCGGUCCCUAUCUGCCGUGGGCGCUGGAGAACUGAGGGGGGCUGCUCCUAGUACGAGAGGACCGGAGUGGACGCAUCACUGGUGUUCGGGUUGUCAUGCCAAUGGCACUGCCCGGUAGCUAAAUGCGGAAGAGAUAAGUGCUGAAAGCAUCUAAGCACGAAACUUGCCCCGAGAUGAGUUCUCCCUGACUCCCUGAGAGUCCUGAAGGAACGUUGAAGACGACGACGUUGAUAGGCCGGGUGUGUAAGCGCAGCGAUGCGUUGAGCUAACCGGUACUAAUGAACCGUGAGGCUUAACCUUACAACGCCGAAG